AACGCGAAGAACCUUACCUGGGCUCGAAAUGUAGUGGAAUAGGGUGGAAACAUCCUAGGCUCGCAAGAGACUGCUAUAUAGGUGCUGCAUGGCUGUCGUCAGCUCGUGUCGUGAGAUGUUGGGUUAAGUCCCGCAACGAGCGCAACCCUUAUCCCUAGUUGCCAUCGGGUCAAGCCGGGCACUCUAGUGAAACCGCCCCGGAUAACGGGGAGGAAGGUGGGGAUGACGUCAAGUCCUCAUGGCCUUUAUGUCCAGGGCUACACACGUGCUACAAUGGUCGGUACAAACCGUCGCAAACCCGCGAGGGGGAGCUAAUCGGAAAAAGCCGGCCUCAGUUCGGAUUGGAGUCUGCAACCCGACUCCAUGAAGCUGGAAUCGCUAGUAAUCGCGGAUCAGAACGCCGCGGUGAAUACGUUCCCGGGCCUUGUA
rnacentral:rRNA from 1 species